rnacentral:rRNA from 1 species
UACGAAGGGGGCUAGCGUUGCUCGGAAUCACUGGGCGUAAAGGGUGCGUAGGCGGGUCUUUAAGUCAGAGGUGAAAUCCUGGAGCUCAACUCCAGAACUGCCUUUGAUACUGAGGAUCUUGAGUUCGGGAGAGGUGAGUGGAACUGCGAGUGUAGAGGUGAAAUUCGUAGAUAUUCGCAAGAACACCAGUGGCGAAGGCGGCUCACUGGCCCCGAUACUGA